UACAGAGGGUGCAAGCGUUAAUCGGAAUUACUGGGCGUAAAGGGUGUGUAGGUGGUUUGAUAAGUUAGGUGUGAAAGUCCUGGGCUUAACCUGGGAAUUGCGCCUAAUACUGUUGAGCUAGAGUACUGUAGAGGAAGGUGGAAUUUCCGGUGUAGCGGUGAAAUGCGUAGAUAUCGGAAGGAACAUCAGUGGCGAAGGCGACCUUCUGGACAGAUACUGACACUGAAACACGAAAGCAUGGGUAGCAAACAGG
rnacentral:rRNA from 1 species